UAAGCGGAGGAAAAGAAACUAACCAGGAUUCCCCUAGUAACGGCGAGUGAAGCGGGAAUAGCUCAAAUUUUAAAUCUGGCCGGCGUGGUCGGUCCGAGUUGUAAUUUGAAGAAGCGAUUAUCACGUUUUCGUUCGGGUUCAAGUUCCUUGGAAUAGGACAUCAGAGAGGGUGAGAAUCCCGUCUGUGAUCCGAUCGGCUUCGGUACGAUAACGUUUCUAAGAGUCGAGUUGUUUGGGAUUGCAGCUCAAAAUGGGUGGUAAAUUCCAUCUAAGGCUAAAUAUUGGCGAGAGACCGAUAGCGAACAAGUACCGUGAGGGAAAGAUGAAAAGCACUUUGGAAAGAGAGUUAAACAGCACGUGAAAUUGUUGAAAGGGAAACGAUUGAAGUCAGUCGUGCGCAAGGUAUUCAGCCCUCACCGGUGUAUUUGCCUUGCGCGGGUCAACAUCAGUUCUGACCGACGGAAAAGAGUUUGGGGGCAAGGUGGCACCCUCGGGUGUGUUAUAGCCUCCUGCUGGAAAUACGUCGGCUUGGGACUGAGGAAUGCAGCUCGCCGCAAGGCCGGGAUUCGUCCGACGUUCGAGCUUAGGAUGUUGACAUAAUGGCUUUAAACGACCCGUCUUGAAACACGGACCAAGGAGUCUAGCAUAUAUGCGAGU
rnacentral:rRNA from 1 species